rnacentral:rRNA from 1 species
AGAACGAACGCUGGCGGCGUGCUUAACACAUGCAAGUCGAACGUGAUUCAGAGCUUGCUCUGAUGAAAGUGGCGCACGGGUGAGUAACGCGUGGAUAACCUGCCCUGGUAUCUGGGAUAACAUCUCGAAAGGGGUGCUAAUACCGGAUAAGCCUCCGGGAUCUUCGGAUUCUGCAGGAAAAGAAGGCCUCUAUUUAUAAGCUUUCGUAUCAGGAUGGGUCCGCGUACCAUUAGCUAGUUGGUGGGGUAAUGGCCUACCAAGGCGACGAUGGUUAGCUGGUCUGAGAGGAUGAUCAGCCACACUGGAACUGAGACACGGUCCAGACUCCUACGGGA